AACGUAGGUGGCAAGCGUUAUCCGGAUUUACUGGGCGUAAAGCGUGUGCAGGCGGGUGGGCAAGUGGUGUAUGAAAUCGCCAGGCUAAACCUGGCGGGGUUAUGCCAGACUGUCCGUCUGGAGUGCGAGAGAGGGGCGUGGAAUUCCGGGUGUAGUGGUGAAAUGCGUAGAGAUCAAGAGGAACACUCGUGGCGAAAGCGAGCUACUGGACAAUUCCUGACGCUGAGGCUCGAAGGCUAGGGUAGCGAAAGGG
rnacentral:rRNA from 1 species